rnacentral:rRNA from 1 species
UACGGAGGGUGCAAGCGUUAUCCGGAUUUACUGGGUUUAAAGGGUGCGUAGGCGGACGAUUAAGUUAGAUGUGAAAGCUUGCAGCUCAACUGUAAGAUUGCGUUUGAUACUGGUCGUCUUGAAUUUGGUAGAAGUGGGCGGAAUAAAUCAUGUAGCGGUGAAAUGCAUAGAUAUGAUUUAGAACACCGAUUGCGAAGGCAGCUCGCUAUGUCAAUAUUGACGCUGAGGCACGAAAGCGUGGGGAUCAAACAGG